GUGGGGAAUAUUGGACAAUGGGCGAAAGCCUGAUCCAGCCAUGCCGCGUGUGUGAAGAAGGUCUUCGGAUUGUAAAGCACUUUAAGUUGGGAGGAAGGGCAGUAAGUUAAUACCUUGCUGUUUUGACGUUACCGACAGAAUAAGCACCGGCUAACUUCGUGCCAUCAGCCGCGGUAAUACGAAGGGUGCAAGCGUUAAUCGGAAUUACUGUGCGUAAAGCGCGCGUCUGUGGUUUUGUCAGUUGGAGGUGAAAUCCCCAGGCUCAACAUGGGAACUGCCUCCAAAACUGCAUGACUAGAGUACGGUAGAUGGUAGUGGAAUUUCCUGUGUAGCGGUGAAAUGCGUAGAUAUAGGAAGGAACACCAGUGGCGAAGGCGACUACCUGGACUGAUACUGACACUGAGGUGCGAAAGAGUGGGGAGCAAACAGGAUUAGAAACCCGAGUAGUCC
rnacentral:rRNA from 1 species